rnacentral:rRNA from 1 species
UACAGGGGGUGCAAACGUUGCUCGGAAUUAUUGGGCGUAAAGCGUGCGUAGGCGGCUGCGCAAGUCGGGUGUGAAACCCCGGGGCUCAACCCCGGAACUGCAUCCGAUACUGCGUGGCUAGAGGUAGGUAGGGGAGAUCGGAAUUCCAGGUGUAGCGGUGAAAUGCGUAGAUAUCUGGAGGAACACCGGUGGCGAAGGCGGGUCUCUGGGCAGUAACUGACGCUGAGGAGCGAAAGCGUGGGGAGCGAACAGG